CUAUCACACACAAAACAUGUACAACAUGGUCAGUCAUAUGAGUCAGACAUAUAUAUAUACAACAUUUAAUAGUCAAGCUGAUUUAUAGCGGAGUUGAAGAGUUUAUUUUUUAAAUCAGAACUUUUUUUUUUUAACUGUAUUUCACAAUUCUGUGUUUAGUGUAUUGUCAUGCAUGUGUGGAAAUACAAUACAUAAUGGUGGUCUUUGGACGAUGCAAGGAGAACUCUUAUAACUAGAUUUUAUCACAUGCGGGCAAUAAAGGCAGCUAAUUCCAAUCACACGGAAGGGUGGGCUGUUAUUUACCAUUCUUUGAUUUGUUGUG